rnacentral:rRNA from 1 species
GAUGAACGCUGGCGGCGUGCCUAAUACAUGCAAGUCGAGCGAACAGACGAGGAGCUUGCUCCUCUGACGUUAGCGGCGGACGGGGGAGUAACACGUGGAUAACCUACCUAUAAGACUGGGAUAACUUCGGGAAACCGGAGCUAAUACCGGGUAAUAUAUUGAACCGCAUGGUUCAAUAGUGAAAGACGGUUUUGCUGUCACUUAUAGAUGGAUCCGCGCCGCAUUAGCUAGUUGGUAAGGUAACGGCUUACCAAGGCAACGAUGCGUAGCCGACCUGAGAGGGUGAUCGGCCACACUGGAACUGAGACACGGUCCAGACUCCUACGGGAGGCAGCAGUAGGGAAUCUUCCGCAAUGGGCGAAAGCUUGACGGAGCAACGCCGCGUGAGUGAUGAAGGUCUUCGGAUCGUAAAACUCUGUUAUUAGGGAAGAACAAAUGUGUAAGUAACUAUGCACGUCUUGACGGUACCUAAUCAGAAAGCCACGGCUAACUACGUG